rnacentral:rRNA from 1 species
AAUAAAAAAAUCUUUGGUUGGGGCAACCACGAAGAAAAAAAAACCUUCGUUCUUUUUAAAAAUAAACAAAUUUAAAAUUAAAUUAUUUUGAUCCAGAAAAUCUGAUUAAAGAAAAAAGUUACCGCAGGGAUAACAGCGUUAUUUUCUUUAAGAGUUCUUAUUGACAAGAAAGUUUGCGACCUCGAUGUUGGACCGGGGUACCCAAGAGGUGCAAAAGCCUCUAAAGGUAGGUCUGUUCGACCUUUAAAACCCUACGUGAUCUGAGUUCAGACCGACCCAAGUCAGGUCUGUUUCUAUCUA